rnacentral:rRNA from 1 species
GGGGGGGGGGGGGGGGGGGGGGGGGGGGGGGGGGGGGGGGGGGGGGAGGGGGGGCUGGCCCCGCGGGCGUUCGCGGCGGGCGGGGGCGGCGCACGGGGCGAGCCUGCCUAUGCGACCGGGGUACCUUAGGGAGCCCGGAGCUCAUCCCGGGUGCUAGAGUGGCCCGCACGGUUCCAUAGUUCACGACGGUUUUGCUGUCACUUCUAGAUUGCUCCGCGCCGCCUUAGCUAGUUGGUAAGGUAACGGCUUACCAAGGCAACGAUGAGUAGACGACCUGAGAGGGUGAUCGGCCACACUGGAACUGAGACACGGUCCAGACUCCUACGGGAGGCAGCAGUAGGGAAUCUUCCGCAAUGGGCGAAAGCCUGACGGAGCAACGCCGCGUGAGUGAUGAAGGUCUUCGGAUCGUAAAACUCUGUUAUUAGGGAAGAACAAAUGUGUAAGUAACUAUGCACGUCUUGACGGUACCUAAUCAGAAAGCCACGGCUAACUACGUG